AAUCAACGCUGGCGGCGUGCCUCAGACAUGCAAGUCGAACGCGAAAUUUCCCUUCGGGGAGAAAGUAGAGUGGCGCACGGGUGAGUAACACGUGGGUAAUUUACCUUCGGGUGGGGAGUAACAGUCGGAACGACUGCUAACACCGCAUGAUGCAGCGGCACCACAUGGUGACAGUUGUUAAAGCGGGGGAGUCGCAAGACCUCGCGCCUGAAGAGAAGCCCGCGGCAGAUUAGCUAGUUGGUAAGGUAAUGGCUUACCAAGGCAACGAUCUGUAGCCGGCCUGAGAGGGCGGUCGGCCACACUGACACUGAAUAACGGGUC
rnacentral:rRNA from 1 species